UACAGAGGGAUGCUACCGGGCGACCGGAUGCGGAUCUCGAAAGCCUGUCCCAGUUCGGACUGGAGUCUGCAACCCGACUCCACGAAGUUGGAUUCGCUAGUAAUCGCGCAUCAGCCAUGGCGCGGUGAAUACGUUCCCGGGCCUUGUACACACCGCCCGUCAAGCCAUGGAAGCCGGGGGUGCCUGAAGUGUGCAGCCGCAAGGAGCGCCCUAAGGUAAAACCGGUGACUGGGGCUAAGUCGUAACAAGGUAUC
rnacentral:rRNA from 1 species